AAGUAUCUUCUCGGAAGGGAGGCCAGUCCAGCUCCGGUCCCCCAAAGGGCCGUGCAGCGGACGAACCGCCUGACCGAAAACCCAACAAACCCCCGUGCACUUUCCGACGGUGGAGGGAGACUGGGCGAGAGCUCGGGAUCCCGAAACCGUCGACUCACAAACACCUUUAAAGAAUGAUAUAGCGGCCCUUGCGUCGCCUAACUUAACGAAA
rnacentral:misc_RNA from 1 species